rnacentral:rRNA from 1 species
CGACUCUGGCUCAGGAUGAACGCUAGCGGCAGGCUUAACACAUGCAAGUCGAGGGGCAUCGGGAGUAGCAAUACUGCCGGCGACCGGCGCAAGGGUGCGUAACGCGUGAGCAACAUGCCCGUAUCAGGGGGAUAAUCCAUGGAAACGUGGUCUAAUACCCCAUAGUAAUUAUGUAAGGCAUCUUAUAUAAUUUAAAGCUUUGGUGGAUACGGAUUGGCUCGCGUGACAUUAGCUGGAUGGUAAGGUAACGGCUUACCAUGGCUACGAUGUCUAGGGGUUCUGAGAGGAAGGUCCCCCACACUGGAACUGAGACACGGUCCAGACUCCUACGGGAGGCAGCAGUGAGGAAUAUUGGACAAUGGAUGGAAAUCUGAUCCAGCCAUGCCGCGUGCCAGGAAGACGGCCCUAUGGGUUGUAAACUGCUUUUGUAUGGGAGCAAUAAGGGCUACGUGUAGUCCGAUGAGAGUACCAUACGAAUAAGCACCGGCUAACUCCGUGCCAGCCGCCGC